rnacentral:ncRNA from 1 species
AGACUGCGCGCACUUCAAGGUGACCUGCGGCGCUGGCUGGCAGGUUGAAACGGGAAGCCGGUGACGCAUCCGCGUGAUGCCACUCCGGCGCUGCCCCCGCAACGGUAAGCACGUCACAAGCGGACCUCACGCCACUGUGCCCCCGGGCAUGGGAAGGCGUCCGCCCGGUGGAUCCCCCACCGACGGCAAGCCCGGAGACCGGCCCGGAAGCACCAGGUUGC